rnacentral:rRNA from 1 species
GAUGAACGCUAGCUACAGGCUUAACACAUGCAAGUCGAGGGGCAGCAUGUCGGUUGCUUGCAACCGAUGAUGGCGACCGGCGCACGGGUGAGUAACGCGUAUCCAACCUUCCCCAUAGUAGAGAAUAGCCCGGCGAAAGUCGGAUUAAUGCUCUAUGUUGUAUUUUGAUGACAUCAGAAGAAUACCAAAGGUUCACCGCUAUGGGAUGGGGAUGCGUCUGAUUAGGUUGUUGGCGGGGUAACGGCCCACCAAGCCCGCGAUCAGUAGGGGUUCUGAGAGGAAGGUCCCCCACAUUGGAACUGAGACACGGUCCAAACUCC